AGAGUUUGAUCAUGGCUCAGAUUGAACGCUGGCGGCAGGCCUAACACAUGCAAGUCGAACGGUAACAGGAAGCAGCUUGCUGCUUUGCUGACGAGUGGCGGACGGGUGAGUAAUGUCUGGGAAACUGCCUGAUGGAGGGGGAUAACUACUGGAAACGGUGGCUAAUACCGCAUAACGUCGCAAGACCAAAGAGGGGGACCUUCGGGCCUCUUGCCAUCAGAUGUGCCCAGAUGGGAUUAGCUUGUUGGUGAGGUAACGGCUCACCAAGGCGACGAUCCCUAGCUGGUCUGAGAGGAUGACCAGCCACACUGGAACUGAGACACGGUCCAGACUCCUACGGGAGGCAGCAGUGGGGAAUAUUGCACAAUGGGCGCAAGCCUGAUGCAGCCAUGCCGCGUGUAUGAAGAAGGCCUUCGGGUUGUAAAGUACUUUCAGCGGGGAGGAAGGUGUUGUGGUUAAUAACCACAGCAAUUGACGUUACCCGCAGAAGAAGCACCGGCUAACUCCGUGCCAGCAGCCGCGGUAAUACGGAGGGUGCAAGCGUUAAUCGGAAUUACUGGGCGUAAAGCGCACGCAGGCGGUCUGUCAAGUCGGAUGUGAAAUCCCCGGGCUCAACCUGGGAACUGCAUUCGAAACUGGCAGGCUUGAGUCUUGUAGAGGGGGGUAGAAUUCCAGGUGUAGCGGUGAAAUGCGUAGAGAUCUGGAGGAAUACCGGUGGCGAAGGCGGCCCCCUGGACAAAGACUGACGCUCAGGUGCGAAAGCGUGGGGAGCAAACAGGAUUAGAUACCCUGGUAGUCCACGCCGUAAACGAUGUCUACUUGGAGGUUGUGCCCUUGAGGCGUGGCUUCCGGAGCUAACGCGUUAAGUAGACCGCCUGGGGAGUACGGCCGCAAGGUUAAAACUCAAAUGAAUUGACGGGGGCCCGCACAAGCGGUGGAGCAUGUGGUUUAAUUCGAUGCAACGCGAAGAACCUUACCUGGUCUUGACAUCCACGGAAGUUUUCAGAGAUGAGAAUGUGCCUUCGGGAACUGUGAGACAGGUGCUGCAUGGCUGUCGUCAGCUCGUGUUGUGAAAUGUUGGGUUAAGUCCCGCAACGAGCGCAACCCUUAUCCUUUGUUGCCAGCGGUCAGGCCGGGAACUCAAAGGAGACUGCCAGUGAUAAACUGGAGGAAGGUGGGGAUGACGUCAAGUCAUCAUGGCCCUUACGACCAGGGCUACACACGUGCUACAAUGGCGCAUACAAAGAGAAGCGACCUCGCGAGAGCAAGCGGACCUCAUAAAGUGCGUCGUAGUCCGGAUUGGAGUCUGCAACUCGACUCCAUGAAGUCGGAAUCGCUAGUAAUCGUGGAUCAGAAUGCCACGGUGAAUACGUUCCCGGGCCUUGUACACACCGCCCGUCACACCAUGGGAGUGGGUUGCAAAAGAAGUAGGUAGCUUAACCUUCGGGAGGGCGCUUACCACUUUGUGAUUCAUGACUGGGGUGAAGUCGUAACAAGGUAACCGUAGGGGAACCUGCGGUUG
rnacentral:rRNA from 1 species